CUACGGGGGGCAGCAGUGAGGAAUAUUGCACAAUGGGGGAAACCCUGAUGCAGCAACGCCGCGUGGAGGAUGACGCAUUUCGGUGUGUAAACUCCUUUUAUAUGUCAAGAAAAUGACGGUAGCAUAUGAAUAAGCACCGGCUAACUCCGUGCCAGCAGCCGCGGUAAUACGGAGGGUGCAAGCGUUACUCGGAAUCACUGGGCGUAAAGGACGCGUAGGCUGGUUGGUAAGUCAGGUGUGAAAUCCUACAGCUUAACUGUAGAACUGCACUUGAAACUACCAACCUAGAAUAUGGGAGGGGGAGAUGGAAUUAGUGGUGUAGGGGUAAAAUCCGUAGAUAUCACUAGGAAUACCGAAAGCGAAGGCGAUCUCCUGGAACAUAACUGACGCUAAGGCGUGAAAGCGUGGGGAGCAAACAGGAUUAGAUACCCCCGUAGUC
rnacentral:rRNA from 1 species